CAUCUUCAGUGGGAAAGCACAGCGUGUUCAUGUCAUGACAGGCUGGUAUACGUGAACAGCUUUGCUUUGAACGUGUUUCUUUUUGUCUAAGCCAAUCGUUUUGCCCUACAAGGAAGUUCUGCUGCUCACUCUUCUCAUAGAAUGAGCAUUCUAAGCCACACAGACAGCUUAGGUGACUCAUUACCCUCCUCUAUCCUAAACGACUGCUUCCUGGAAGUGGGGGCCAUGUUUGGAUGCUUCUCUGCAGCAGCCAGUGAUCCUGACACAGUGACCCAGUUUUAUAAAGAUGUUUCAGAAGUGAAUGCAUUGAUGGCCAACGUGCUUUUGUCGUGGAGAACCGCAGUGCGUCUGCUGCUGGCUCCUUCUUGGCAGGCUCUGGAUCACUGUCACUGUGAAGAGGCAUCUGGUGCUGUAUUGGCGUGUUUUACAGGUGCCCAAGCCUCCACUGCCUGAUUUCUGAAAUAGCCUUCCUGCUGAUGUACACACAGACAAGUGAAUCUGAGCUCCAGGGACCAGUCCCUUCCCAGCCUCCGACGUCUCCUGAUGUGUCUCUGGGCAGCAAUAUGUAAAGGGCAAUAAGAUCAGGUUGUGGUGACGAUGUGACAGGGUGUCAGCACCUAUGGCCAUACCCGGGUUGUGACAAGCACCUGGGCAAAUGUUCCCAGUGACCCCUGGCUGGUGACUGACAAACAACAUCAGUCAUCAGAACAGCGGGGCGCAAACCAGAAGGAAAUGUUAAAGGCAGCUGGAAGAAAGGCCCCCAGGGUGUCCUGCCACUGUGGGCCCCAGGGACCCUGUCAGAGGGGAAACUUUCAUAGGCAGAGGCAGAGAAAAUCAGGGCUGUGCUCACAGUGUAAGAGCCAAGGAAAUACUACCCAGUGUCCUGUCCUCCUGGGGACAAGACCUCUCAGGACAGUCUGAGAUUUGUAGGCAUUAUAAUGUCUCUAACUUUUGAAGGUCCAGUCCCACAUCAUCAAAAGUGUUUUACAAUAUGCUCACACCUCUAAUUACAUAUGCGUCAUAUAGAGUUACACUCAAUAGCCACCAUAUGCACUUUUUUUUGCAGGCAUUUAAUGACUACAUUUAUUUCUACUGUACUUUUGUUUUCCAAAAAUCUACCAGGCCCAUAUAUUUAAAAGACAUCUUUUUUUUUUGAGGAUCUUAAAUAAGCCUGAAGCACUGGGUCUGCAGUGCCUCAUGGGUAAAACACUACUGCCUCAGCAUGAGCCAGGGAAAGGGUCUAUAGCAGACUUCUCUGUGACAACUCAUGCUGUUCUCAGCUCAGCCCCUGGCUCCCCUCCCAACCCCCACCCCUCCUCCUCAGUGCCUCAAUGGUAUUAGAGUCCAUCCAUUGUCAGAUAUGGUUUAGACUCCAUGGUUAGACUCCAUUGCUGUCAAAUGUGUGGCCCAUACCCCACUGUAGUAUGAGCUGGGAUUCCUUCUUAGGUUUGUAUCUACAAGGGCUCAUUGAUCACAAGGAGAAAAUCAGCCGGUCCACACCAAAUACCCAUACAAUAGCAAAGGAUGUAAAUUCAUAGAGAUAGUUCUAGACUAGAGAUACCUGACAUGCAAAUUCUUGGGCUCCCAAAAUCAAUCUCAAGAGGCAGAAACUCUCACCUCCAGGCAAGCCCAGUGUACUCUGACGACGGUGCCGCCACACCAGAGCAGACCCCCUCAGACCACAGAUGUGUUAAGGACUUCUUAAGCAUGAGGAUUCAGGACCAGCGGGUCUUCAGUGGGACCUGAGAGUCUGCAUCUUUAAUAAACGUCUGUAGGAUGGCAGUGCUGGUCUACGGACCACACUUUGAGUAGCCAGAUACUAAGCUAUCCCAGCUCAUUGAUCACCAAGCAGAAAGAAAGAAACCACUGGCUGGUGGAGGGUGUCAGUUUCACCAUUCUCAGCCUCUUUAUGUGUCACACGACAGGAGACUAAUACUUGAUGAAACGGUCACGGAUAAAUGAAAUAUUACACACAUAGCAUGUGGAGUAUAAUGGGUGACCAGUAGGUUUUCCCCAUUCUCACCCUCUUCAUACAACUCAUCAAAUUUUCUUUUCUCGAAUUCAGAUGUUAAGUGUCUUAACUGUAAGGUAGCCAGUGAAGAGGAUAUUUGAAUGAAAUUAAAUCACCAAUGAAACAAACCUUUAAUAUACCCUCCACCCCUUUCUUGUAUCUAUCUAGGAUUUGGCAACCUGAACGCUAAAGUGAGGAAUGAAUUUACAACAGGUAGGAGUUAGGGGUAGCAGGGAAAAAGUUCUUUCUGGUAAGUGGGGCUCAGGCAGGUAGACCUAAGGGGAUGUUUGCAUUCGGGAGUUGACAGACAUUUACUGAGUACUUGCUGCCUGCUACGGUGCCCUGGCAUUUGGGUCUAGGCCUGUGAGGGACAGAUGGAAUGUGUCCACCCUGGACCCCUUGGUCAUUUGUCAUCCCACCAGUCCCUCAUUUGGACUGGCUGGGGAUUGUGCAGGAAGGAGGGGGACCUAAGUGUGUGUGUGUGUGUGUGUGUGUGUGUGUGUGUGUGUGUGUGUGUGUGCAUGUGUGUUGUGGGGAGGGGAAGUCAGGGUGAAAUUAAAUUUCUGUCUCUCCUUUCUGGAAUGUCAGCAAUGUGCUGAGAACAAGGUAGUGCAGCUGGCUGCCAGCUCUUUCCUCAUCUUGGUUCAGAGCUUCUCAGCCUCCUGGUAGUUCACAAGUCUUCUAGAUGCCCAGUCCUGUGUCAUCUUGUUUCUCAGAUGCCUCUUUUUUUUUUUAAGAUAAUCUCAAUUGUCCUGCUUCCAUCCAUCAUCUGCCAAGACAAUGCCUAAUGUGCCUGUUAGAACUUUCCUCCCAGAGGAGUGUCUCACACCAUUGAAUGGAACAGCAGUUUCUUUGUCAGAGUCGAACUGUGCCAAUCUGGGAAUUUUGGAGCAUGGACACCCAUACACAGCUCACCAAUCUCCCAUGACCAGCCAUCUAGUGCCAGCCCAACCCCUCCUUACUAUUUCUACUGCUGUUGAGACAGAUGGGCCUGAGUUUGCCAUGCUUGUCUCCAUAUUGAAUUAUUUCACAUUCACGGUUAUUCCAACUCCUUCCCAGCUUGUGUUCAUACAGUCUAAGGGCAGAAGAAGAGCCCUGGUGUGCUCUGGUGAAACAUUCUCAUUGUGUUUGAGAACUGAGAAUGGUGUAUAGAGUCUAGAGACUCUCUGGGAUAGAGAACAGGUAGAGAGAACUGUCCAGCAGAACUUGGGCAUUCAGUUAGGCUUGUGCCGUUUCAAUUUUAUUAUAAGCUCCAAUUUUUGAAAACCAAAACUCUGUUUACCUCAUUUUCUUUGAAGUAAAUAGGCCAGGUCCUGGAUCUACAGAUGAAAGGCUGCAGGUGAUUCUCCACUGGCUAACACUGAACCAGGAAGAGAUGUGCUCCUGUUUCUCUGGACUUGAAGACCUUGAGAGGCCCUACCACCACCGUGCCCUAGCACAGUGACCUAGCACAGUAGAGUGUGGCUGCAACUGAGGAGGCCUCGUGUGUGAGACUUUUACUAUUCAUGUGUUCUUGUUGCCGUAUUUGAAGGUUUUUUUUUUUCUUUAACCAAUGAAAUCUAGGACUCUCUGUAGAGCCUCCUUUGACCAACUGGAGCAAUGGCUUUGUGCUCUGGACUCUACCUUAUGUGAAUUGAUCCCCUGAGGACAGGCCUGCUGGCUUUCUACCACUCCCAAACAGUACUGCCACACAGAAGCACAUUGUGUGUAUUUACUCCACGAACCACUUCACCUGACACACAGACUCUUUGAGCCGGGCACUAUUGCUCUCCCCUGUUUACAGAUGUGGCCACUGAAGCUCAAAGGAGCAACAACUACCAACCACAACAAACACCCAAACAAGUUGAAUCCAGGUCUUGGCUGGUCCUGCACCACAUAGUUGUAAAACCUCUUCUAUAUUGCUGUGAGGUUUUGAACUUCUGGGCCUUAGGAGUCCUUGAUCUUCGGAACCAGAGAGCUUAUGACUUAUGCCACGGUUCCUUUAAGGUUAAUGGAAAGAGCUCUCGGCUCAUGGAAAACAAACUCCAUAAUCUGGGUUACUGGGUCAUUCCUUCUCCAGCUGGUUCUACUAGCUUUUGGGUUUUCCCUAUUGUCUGGCCAAGCCUGGCUCAUCUCCACUCAAAGCUGCCUAGGAUUCUAAGCUUGAGCUCCUCAGAGUGAUACAAAUAUACCUGAAUUGAGAACCAGCUGUAUGUGUCUGCAACUGUGCCCACCAUAGAAAUUUCAUUCUCGGGAAUCCAAGAGCCGUGUGAUGAUCAAGAUUGGUUCCUGCAUUUAUUUAACAUGGUUUUUGGACGCCUGUGUCAUCGGUCCUAUGUUGAACUGGAAAUAUUGAAUGGCCUCCAGGGCUUAAAAAUCUAGUAAAGGGGACAAACAUAAAAUCAAAUAACCCCCUAUAGGAUAAAUGGAUAAAGGAAGCCAGGGUGCUAAGAAGAGAGACACAUUGACCAUUGCACCUGAAACUGUCCAGCUGCAAAGAGCAAGGGAACUAAUUGCCUUACAAUACAGACUCAUAGAUACUAAAUAUUGGAUUUCAGCAAGUCUGGAGGGGCUGUCCAAGGAUGAAGAUACUUACUCAUCUACUCAAGUAAUUCUGGGACGGAGCCCUCUGAAAAACUAUCUGUAGAAAGAGGUCAGAGAAAAUGUUGCAAGGAAAAAAGUCAUUAUGUUAAAGAAUUUUAAGGAUUUGUCAGCAGGCAAGAGGAUUAAAGGGCUUUUAAAAGUUAUAAUUUAAAACUUGUUGGUUAUGGAAAUGAUCAAAUGUCAAAUAAAUAAAUUAAUU